ACGUAAGUUGCCGAGCGGUCAAAGGCGCCGAUCUCCAAAAUCGGUACGAAAGUUUCGGGGGUUCGAAUCCUCCCUUACGUG
rnacentral:tRNA from 1 species